rnacentral:rRNA from 1 species
UACGAAGGGGGCUAGCGUUGCUCGGAAUCACUGGGCGUAAAGGGUGCGUAGGCGGGUCUUUAAGUCAGGGGUGAAAUCCUGGAGCUCAACUCCAGAACUGCCUUUGAUACUGAAGAUCUUGAGUUCGGGAGAGGUGAGUGGAACUGCGAGUGUAGAGGUGAAAUUCGUAGAUAUUCGGAAGAACACCAGUGGCGAAGGCGGCUCACUGGCCCGGUACUGACGCUGAGGAGCGAAAGCGUGGGGAGCGAACAGG